CCUACGGGAGGCAGCAGUGAGGGAUAUUGGUCAAUGGGGGAAACCCUGAACCAGCAACGCCGCGUGAGGGAAGACGGUUUUCGGAUUGUAAACCUCUGUCCUCUGUGCAGAUGAUGACGGUAGCAGAGGAGGAAGCUCCGGCUAACUACGUGCCCGCAGCCGCGGUAAUAAGUAGGGAGCAAGCGUUGUCCGGAUUUACUGGGUGGAAAGGGUGCGUAGGCGGCUUUGCAAGUCAGACGUGAAAUCCCUGGGCUUAACCCAUGAACUGCUUUUGAAACUGCAGAGCUUGAGUGGGGUAGAGGUAGGCGGAAUUCCCGGUGUAGCGGUGAAAUGCGUAGAGAUCGGGAGGAACACCAGUGGCGAAGGCGGCCUGCUGGGCUCUAACUGACGCUGAGGCACGAAAGCGUGGGUAGCAAACAGGAUUAGAUACCCCUGUAGUC
rnacentral:rRNA from 1 species